UGUGGGAUCUCCAGCAGGGACUUGCCGGCCUGCAGAACCAUGAACCAAAAUAGUUAUGAGGUGAGCAGUUUCGGCUGACAACACACUUCCACUGUGUAUUGGUAACAUCACCACAGGCCAAAGCAGUGAGACCAACUGGUUAUGGGCUGAAACUUCCAAAACUGCUUGGAGCGUCUACCUCCCUGGGAAAGAUGAGAAGCAAUGCCAAGAGAAACACCAAGGCAUUUCACAUUAUACCUUUCAAACCAUGGCUGGAAUGAGCAGGCAA